AGACACUGAGGCUCAGAGAUGAUCAGUGAUUUGCUCCAAGUCACAGUCUUGUAAUUGACUCAUUUGAUUUGUGCAGUUUCCAAACUACUCCCUCUGGACCAGACAGCCGGGGGGAGCCUCUCUCACAGGGAAGGACCAGGGCAUCAAUCCCACAUGCUGGGCUCCCUCAGGGCCUAUGUGUUUUCUAAUGAGCUCUAAAAUGGAAGCAGUGUGUUCCAAGGACAGGACUCAAUGAAGAAGGUCCUUUGGACCAAAGAAAUUGACAAGAGGUGGAGGAUUUAGAUUCAAUGAACCUUCACUGAUAGCCUACCAUGGACCCAACACUAUGACAGAUUUAAAGAAUGAACUAAGGGGACUUCCCUGGUGGCGCAGUGGCUAAAAAUCUGCCUGCCAAUGCAGGGGACACGGGUUCCAUCCCUGGUCUGGGAAGAUCCCA